UCCCGCGGCGGCCGAGCCCCGCAGGGCGGGAGCUCCUCGAAAAUGGCCUUAAAAAAUAAAAUAAACAAAGCGCCUCAAGGUCAGGAAGAUGUGUCGGGAAAUGCGGAAUGUGUAAAAAUUAUCUUGAAUCACGUGGUGGUUAACAUCGUCUAGCCAAGGACACAGUGGAGCAAACAAGCUCUAAGGAUGAAGAACAUCAAAAUGUUGAUGUACCCGUUGCCAGCUUGGUGAAACACCCAAGGUCCAUGUAUCCUAUGAAAUAUGUUUUUUAUAGUACUAAAAAAAUCACACCUGUAGGUCAAAAAGGCGCUGGCUUGGUGAAAAAACUUUCUCUGAGCAUGUAUGGAAAUUAGGUGUUAAUCCCAAAAUUGCUGCUGUGGCAUUCCUGUCAGUCAUGGAAUCUCAGGAGCUGCAAACCCAGCAGGGAGAAGAUAGACACGACAACCUCAGGAAAGAUGCAGCCUGACUGCUGGGUGAAUACCCUUUGUCUCUGGGACUGAGGGGAGGAUGGUCACAGUCAUAGCUGUGCAUGGUCACUGAUCUUGGUUGCAAGAAAACAGGAAUGCUUCUGAGGCGUUAUUCGGGGUGAAGCACUACUUGCAUUUUUUCUUCAAGACAGAAGAUUUAGGUGAUAUCUGUAUGGUUUUUCUUAUCAAGUUUUUUUUUUUUUCAAUCCUUAAUAAAGAAAUGCUCCUGUCAC